UAAUAAUGACGUAAUGGGAUCGGUUUCAUUCGGAUAAAAAGGCCGUUUAUGAAACAAAUACUUUAUUUAUUUGUUUGUGAAAGAACGAGCUACUCUUCCAGGAUGAGAACUUUGAUUUUUUUCACGGUCCUUGCGUGUUUUGCUGCCACCAGCUCUCAGCGAAUUUCAUUCAUUGAGUGUGUGGACAACUGUAAUCGGGAUCAUAUCAGGUGUACCCUUUCCUGCAGACCGCCCAUCAGAGACAUUGACCGUUGUCUAGUAGAGUGUCAAGAACAAUUCAGUCGGUGCUUCGAUAGAUGUUGAACCAUUGUUUAAAGAUUCAGUGCGCGCUUUAUUCUUUGUCCAGCACCAGUAAAUAAAGAAAAAUGAAAUAAAGAAAUAUUA